rnacentral:piRNA from 1 species
GCACAUGUUUCCUCUAGUUUCUCU